rnacentral:lncRNA from 12 species
CAUCCAGCACCGACACGCAUCCCAAACAUCAUCCCACACCUGUCCGUCCCGUCUGAAUCAUCCGGAUCCACCUGCUCCCUUCAUCCCGUGCUGGCUCUCCAUCGCUGGACCGCACCGGUGUCCUUUCAAACCACGAGCAGAUCAGUUCUCAUUGGUCCUGAUGGUUGUGAGGCCCCGUCUCCGCCACCUCUCAACCAGUCCACACAAGAGAGAUGUGACAGCCAAUCACACGCUGAGAUUUCUGCAUUCUGGAGCUCUUAGCACACAAGCCACACCCAGGUGAGCUACAUUUCAUUAAAGGGAUACUCCAUCCCAAAAUGAAAAUUUUGUCAUUAAUCACUUACCCCCAUGAUGGGGUAACCUCUGUUUGUCCUCGGACAUCAUAGGGGUAAGUGAUUAAUGACAAAAUUUUCAUUUUGGGAUGGAGUAUCUCUUUAAGCUACUCUGCUGAGAAGAUGUAACAAAUGGAUGCAUCCACUUGUGACAGAAAGCAUAAUUUCAAUUAGAAACACCCAGCGAUUUAUCUUUCUGAAGAUGCUGAGCUUUAUUCCCUCAGGGAUUUGUGCUGUUUGUGGCUUUGAUUUUGAAUUAGAAUGAAUGAAACCCUUACAUGUUCGAUUUUUCCCUGCAGUGUGAAAACAGGUGGUUAAUGUUAAAGGAAUAGGCUAGUUCAUCCAAAAAUGGAAAAGUUUGGUAUCAAUUGCUUAUUUGCUCAUGACGUUCAUAUGCUCUUUUCCACUCAUUGAAAGCAAGCAAGCGGUCACUUUUCAUCCUAAAAGGACAUAAAUGCACCAUAAGAGUAGUUCAUGUGACUAGUUUGCUGAAUGUUAGCUUUGUGUGAGGAACUGGCUGAAAUUUAAGUUGGCUGAUAAUCAACCUAUAUCUGGUUCCCUUAUAGUUGCCAAUCUGAAAGUGAGAUGGAAUCAGUGUUAAAACUGAGGAAAAAUAAAUAAAUAUAAUAAUUAUAAGUAAUUGAAAUAAAGUUGAAAUUAAAUGAAUCUGACUAAAAUAAAUGAGUUUGUUAAAUUCUUAAAAUGAAGUUAAUUAAAAUAAAAUAAAUAAAUGAUCUAAAUAGAAAUAUUAAAAAAGACAAGCACAAAUCAAAAUUAAGAUGAAAACUAAAAAUAUAAAUAAUCAAAUUCAUAAUAUGAAUAAAUGAUGUAAUAGUAUAUAAAUAACACUAAAAUAACACUGUAUGUGGUAGGAGAAAUUAUUUUGAAAUGGGAAAAAAAGCAAAGUUGGUUGUUAUUGUGUCAACUUACAUUUAGGUCAGCUUCACAGUGCAGUGGGUCACAGUCACAUUGCAUUGCAAUUGCAUUGCAUGAAGCACUCAAACAAGUUUAAUAAAUACUAAUGGAGAGUGUCCUCUAGCAGAUUAACAUCUAGAGUCAUUCCUGCAUUGGUGAAGAGCCUCUCGAACAUUUGGCCUAGUGACUGAGUGCACGGGUUAUGGUUACAUAUUAAAAAUGAUUCUUUCAGUAAUGGAUCCUGAACAGGAUGGAGAGAAAGUAUGAGCAAGACAUCAAGCAGUCUUCCUUAACAGCGUGCAUGGUGCUUAUUAUAGGCGUCUGCUUUAGUGCAGGAGGAGAUGGGGGUUGGGACCGACAUGGGAGGGAGGGUGUAGAGUUACUGUAGGCAGCAUUAAUAGAUGCUUUGAGGUGGUUUUAGAGCUGAGAGCAGCUUUCCGGUGCGAUCUGGACCACACGGUCAGAGGCGGUGGAGAAUCUGUGGCUGUAUGCCUAGUAGCUAGCUGUUAGAAUGACUUAUAGCUCUGAAUAUACAGUAAGGUGUUGCUUAUUGUGAGCAUCACAAUGUGCCAAGUGCUUUGAUUGACAGCACUACAAUAAUUACAAGACUUUGAUUUAGCAUCAUUCAUGACUGUCUCUUCGGUCCAGCUAUGAAGCUACAUUAGGGAGAAAUAACAAAAACAAAAACCGUAACAAUAACUAUAAUGAUUACUAGUGAUGGGGUUUCGAAAAAACUGCUACAUGAAGCUUUAAAACAUUGAUGAAUCUUAUAUUUCGAAUUAGUGGUUCAGUGCUUAUUUCAAACCCGUGAAUCAUGUAAUUUCAGCAAAUGAGGCUUUAUAAGUGUUGAAUGGUGGUUUAGAAACAUUUAAAAAUUUUGAGGGGUCUAGAUGGUAUUGAUCUGGUGAACCCAUGAACGAGUGUCUAAUGGUUUUUCAAGCGAUCUCAGGACAUUUUUAUAAUGUAGGUUCCUUUUUGAUUAAUGUUAUGCAUUUUAAUACUUGUGUAUAAUGCAAAAAGAAGAAGAAGAAGAAGAAUUAAUUGCUUCUAAAGGAGCUAGUUUGCCUCUUUGAAAAAAUGAAUCAUUUUUUGCCAAGCAAUUGAUUCAGAGUUUCAAAAAGCUUUGUUUCAUUUACUAAUGAUAAUUGGUGGUUCUAUAGAUUUGUUUCCAUGUUUUAAGAAAUAUAUAUUUUUUUAUUUUUCAUGACAUUUUGGCUCCAUGAAAGGCACCUGAAAACAAUAGUUUUUUAAUGCAAUUUAAAUUUAAUUUGUUGGUAUUGUUUGGUUGAAAUGAUUUGGGAUUAGGCUCAUGAGGAUACUGUUUAUUCUUCCUCAAAUAAUCUUUAACAAAUCAUUAAGGAACCAGAAAAAUCUCUAAAUGUAUUACUGUAAAUACGUUUUGAUGGAUGAUUUUCUGUCAUAAAUGCUAGUAAUAGAGCUUAAAUUAUAUUGUACCUGGAAUAUUCCUUUAAUGGAUCAAAAGAUGAAUGUAGGCUUCUUUCAGCAGCUUUCAUUUGUGCCCAGCGGUCAUCGCUUACAAAAAUGAAACAUCUCUUUUGUCUCAAAAGAGACAUCUCGGCCCUUUUUGGUGAUAGAUUGAAGCAGAGAGACCAUACAGGAACCUGGAAACCGACGCUGCUGAAACUGCAGUCAUGGGGCCAGACUGUAUAAAAGUCAAGUUAGGUUUAUUGUCAUUCUCUUCAUUACAGGCCAAGUGUCAGAGAAUGAAAUAUUGAUCUUCCUGAACCAUGGUCCAGCGUGUAACAAAAUAGCAAGACAACUGGCCCUAUAUGUCAGUAAACAACACAUACAUACUGUAAAUAUAAAACCGGUAUAUAUAAAGAGCAGUACACACUAGUAGUAUGCAGUAGUGGGAAGUUAUCAGAGCUUGAGUUCUAGAGACGGUAGUAAUGCUGCAUUAAGGCAUUAUUAGUUGAGUUUGAGUGUGACAGAAUGAUUGCAGCCAAUGAUUUUGACUGAAUUGUGCAGUAUUAGUGGAAUGAGAUUGUCAGAGAAUGACAGAAAUCACUUAGCUGAGUGUGAGUGUCUAAAUCUGAGCACUUAAACUGUACCGCUGGAGGCUGCAGUGUCAUUACAGAUGCUCUCAAAGGAACUGAAUGAAAUACUGAGGCUGGAUGUAGUCUCACAGAGCCUGACUUCUAUCAGCAUAAAGUCUGGUCCACACUGCAUCUUAUUUUGGCCAAGAACAGUCUAGUCUCAGUUUAAGUUGAACUACUAAAAGCCCAUUUGCUGAAUGAUGCAUAUUAUCACAAAAGUGGCAAGAACGUGUUGAAACUACCAGUUUGUACUGCAAACAUCCUAAGUAUUAUUAAUAUCAAAAUAGAUUUAAUCUUUCAUUUUAAGCAAUGGUGACUUAAAAAAAUAUGUGCAAUCGAUUUCCAACAUUUCUUCAUGUAAACUGAACUUGUUUUACUACAACUAGUACAGAAGGCAGUCAACACACUUGUACUAAGUGCCUAAAACAAAACUCAUUUAAUAGAUUUAAUUCCAUGAGCCUAGCCAACUUGGUUAUCUUUUUGCUUUGAGAGCUUUCUCCAGUGUGUAUGUGCUUUAAGAAAAACCUGUUGCAAAAUAACUUUAUUAAAAAUCAAUUCAAAAAUGUGGAGGUUACACACUGACUAGCACACGAGAGCUGUGUUUAAUGGCUUGAGUCUUGCAGAAGAGUCUUGCAGAAGAUGCAGAAAUGCAAGUGGAGAGAGAAGAGGCCUCGUGAUUUUAUGGAUGAACACGAGUUGAAA